UCACAGUUUUCCUUCAUUUUCUCAAAAGUAUUUAUCUAAAAGCAUUACCAAAAGUAUUUAUCUAAAAUCUCAAAUACAAAUUCAAAUAGGAAAUAAAGCAUUACCGAAAGUAUUUAUCAAAGUCUCAAAAUUGGUUUAUAAUUUCACCCAAAAAAAAAAAAAAAAAAAACACGAACACAGGUUCAAUUUGAGAAACAGUAGAAUCAAGUUCGAUUUCACCAAAUUCGUCCAACCUUAACCAAUCAUGCACUGUUCGAUUACCUAAAAACAUAAAAAAUCAUAACACUUUCCUACAUUUUCUCAAGAAGCAAACAGAAAAAACAAAUCAUUACCGCAAAUUUUAAUCUAAAUCUCAAAAUCG
rnacentral:lncRNA from 1 species